UACGGGGGGGCAAGCGUUGUUCGGCAUUACUGGGCGUAAAGGGCUCGUAGGCGGCCAACUAAGUCAGACGUGUAAUCCCUCGGCUUAACCGGGGAACUGCGUCUGAUACUGGAUGGCUUGAGUUUGGGAGAGGGACGCGGAAUUCCAGGUGUAGCGGUGAAAUGCGCAGAGAUCGGGAGGAAGGCCGGUGGCGAAGGCGGCGCUCUGGAACAUUUCUGACGCUGAGGCUCGAAAGCGUGGGGAGCAAACAGG
rnacentral:rRNA from 1 species